CCUUGUGCUUGCCUGGCAGGUGUUGUGCCGCUAAGUUAUAUUCCCAGGCCUCAAAUGAAGAAUCUGAGAUGAGGUGGUCCUCCGGCCUCCAUGGUGGAGCUGAAUAGUGUCUCAGCAUCCUGGCUUCUCUAAGAGCAUUCCUGCAGCGUAUUCUCAUCCUCUGAAUGUGGGAACCUCCUCUACUAAAAAGCCCAGGAAGCAGUUUAAUGGCUCAUGGAGAAAGUGAUUAAUAAUGCUGUCUAACAGUUCUUGACUGCUCUCCAUGUGCAAACAAAGCCUGGCUUCACAGCCCACCCACCCUGCCCAGGCCGUUAGGACAGAAAACUUUCUGAGUUAGCACUCUGAUGUUCACAACUUACUUGUUUUACAAUUUUGGUCAAGUGAUUUAGUCUCUCUAAACCUCAGUUUAUAAAAUGGGGAGCAAAAAUAGUAUACUUUUUGUGGAUUUGUUGAAAAUUCAAUGUGGCAAUUCUUUUAAGGUUCUAAGUGUUAUGUAUAAAUAAAUAGGUUAAUCAUUGACCACUGACACAUUUUCUAAAGAUUUUUGAGGAAUGUUUAUUUUCAUUGUGCUUAUUUAGACAUUAAGACAGAACAAACAAACAAAAAACCUCCAAAAGCACAACUAAGCAUCUAUGUAAACAGAAUAGAGCAGAAGAAACUAAGUUAUAAAGUUUAUCUGAUUUUGCCAAAUUUAAAUCUGGCAUUUGGUCUGCAGGUAGGAAAGCAACUCAGUCAAGACGGAGUGUAGAGGUGGUGGGCGAUCGUCUGGGUCACCUGCAAGAUGAGUUUACAUCUUCAAGCUCUGAGCCAUCAGGACUGUCUUACGUAUCUUAAAGGAUGCCAUGACUGUCCAAGAUUUUGAAGACACAGUGCGACAGAGAAGGAUCUGCAAUAGACAAGAGGUCACAGAGUGGAACACAGAUACUGCAAAAGUUCAUGGAUGUGGGAGACUAGAGUCCAACACUUACUAGGAAUGCUAAGUUGUUGACAACAUGUUGCUUCUUGCACUACCCGACACAAAGAAGCACACUGUUUUUUGUACUUCUUUGUGGGUUUUUUUUUUUUUUGGUACCUGGGAUUGAACUCAUGAUCAUGUGCUUGCAAGGCAGGCACUUAUGCCACUGAGCUAAAUCCUUGACCCUUUCUUUGUGUUUUGAAGACAACAUGUAACACAUAUCAUGUAACUUCAAAGGCUGAAAAUUUUGAACAGGACCUGGAGCAUGAAAGGGGUCAGUGUUCUAUGUAAGCUUUGCUAUCACUAGGGCUUUUGUGACCCAGUGGACGCCAGUGUAGUGAAAGUAUCUGCAGCAAUGUGGGAGCUGUAGCCACUCUGGCAAGGAGAGUAACAGCAGAGAUCUUUAGUGUUGGCUUUGUGAAAAGUAAUUCAUUUUGACAAUUUCCUCUUGACUGUGUGGGCCAUGAUAGAGACAGUAUGCCUGUCUAUUGGGGACUAAGUGAUUAUGCCAUUUGAGUGGCCCAUUAUGAACUAUGUGGUACACGAAUUUACCGAACCAGAAACCUGAACUUAAACAACAGCAGUGGAAAUGAUUAUAGAUGAUACUGGAAUUGGAGAAACCACUUGUUCAUACAUCCAUAUAAUUCUUUGAAAGUUUGAUCCUUUUCCUCAAUCCACAUGUUUAUAAUGAUAGGAAGUCCUUUGUUAGUAGAUCAAUAGAUAUCCAGGUUUGUCCUGGGUACUACUAGUUUAUACUGUUUUCUAGCAUAGUUGUAAUGACACACCCUUUCAUUGUCAAAAGUGUACCAGAUAGUCAAUUAAAAGGCUACCCUGCCUGUGACCAAUUUAUAGAGAGGAAA